CGGUAAGGCCCUUCGGGGUACACGAGUGGCGAACGGGUGAGUAACGCGUGAGUAACCUGCCCUUCACUCUGGGAUAACAGUUGGAAACGGCUGCUAAUACCGGAUAUUCAGCUCCUGUCGCAUGGUGGGGGUUGGAAAGUUUUGGUGGUGGAGGAUGGGCUCGCGUCCUAUCAGCUUGUUGGUGGGGUGAUGGCCUACCAAGGCGUCGACGGGUAACCGGUCUGAGAGGGCGAACGGUCACACUGGAACUGAGACACGGUCCAGACUCCUACGGGAGGCAGCAGUGGGGAAUAUUGCGCAAUGGGGGCAACCCUGACGCAGCAAUACCGCGUGAGUGAAGAAGGUUUUCGGAUCGUAAAGCUCUGUUAUUGGGGAAGAAAAAAGACGGUACCCAAGAAGAAAGUCCCGGCUAACUACGUGCCAGCAGCCGCGGUAAUACGUAGGGGACAAGCGUUGUCCGGAUUUACUGGGCGUAAAGGGCACGCAGGCGGUUUUUUAAGUCAGAUGUGAAAGGUACCGGCUCAACCGGUGACAUGCAUUUGAAACUGAAAGACUUGAGUAUUGGAGAGGCAAGU
rnacentral:rRNA from 2 species